rnacentral:tRNA from 1 species
CUAUCGAACCGUUUUAGAAACAUCAGGGGCCAACAGAUCGCCAGAUCGUUGAGCUCCAUUGGCGGGAUUUCGCCGUCUACGUUUCUCUUUCUUCGCGGACGAACACGCGCCAGGGCUGCGCUGUGCGAUUGCAUUCGGCGCUGGUCGCCUAGUGCUGCACGCGAGCAGGUCCCUGUCCUUGAAGGAUAUGCGUUAGGGGCUUGUAGCUCAGUUGGUUAGAGCGCGCGCUUGAUAAGCGUGAGGUCGGAAGUUCAAGUCUUCCCAGGCCCACCACUUUCAUCGAGCGAGCAUUCGUCUUCUGGUUACGGGGCCAUAGCUCAGCUGGGAGAGCGCGUGCUUUGCAAGCAUGAGGUCGUCGGUUCGAUCCCGUCUGGCUCCACCAGCCUUCGCUGGCUGUGCCAGCUACGGCUAGGUAAACCGACCGGUGCGAAGGCUGCCACGUCGAAGCUCGUAAGAGCGAAGACGGGCUGGCGCCAGCAACGACCAAGUCAUCGUCCGCGAAACAUCACUUCGCACCCACUAGUCCGGAUGGACAGUGACGUGCGUGAUUUCUGACAUCGUAAAGAGGAGAUCGAUCCGAGUUGGAUCGUGCAGCAAUUGUUGCACGAUACUUCAUUAUCUCCGGAUCAUUUUGGCGCUUGCGCGCCCUUCAAGGUCAAACUUGGGGGACGAGCGAGUUGUAAAUGAUCCUUUUAGCGAAGCUUGACCGCCUCGCUAUCGGAACGAUCUUACGAAGCAAGCUGGUCUUUCUAAUCAAUGUCCGGCUGCAGAUAGCGUUCAUCGAGGGCGCGUGCCGCAAGGUAAUUCUGCAGACAACAUUCUGCCGAGUGUGUGGACA